rnacentral:lncRNA from 1 species
UCGUACGCUUGUGAAAGACCUAUGUCUUUGGUUGUGGCUGAGCCAUCAACUCUCCCUAACCAAGACAUAGAGGAUUUGGAAGACGCAUUUACCAAGAUGAAGCAAGAGAGAGAUAUGUGGGAAGAGUGGUUCCAUGCUUUGAGCCGAAGGCAUGAGGAGUUGCAACUUGAGUUAAAAGACAAGGAUGCACUUAUGAACUUCUUGAAGACCGAGCAGUGAAGAGAUAGAGAAAGCCAUAGGUUUUACCUUCCUCUAGUAUGCCUCAUCCUUCUGGUGCUUGG